CCCUUCGGGGUGUGACUGCGUACCUUUUGUAUAAUGGGUCAGCGACUUAUAUUCUGUAGCAAGGUUAACCGUAUAGGGGAGCCGGAGGGAAACCGAGUCUUAACCGGGCGUUAAGUUGCAGGGUAUAGACCCGAAACCCGGUGAUCUAGCCAUGGGCAGGUUGAAGGUUGGGUAACACUAACUGGAGGACCGAACCGACUAAUGUUGAAAAAUUAGCGGAUGACCUGUGGCUGGGGGUGAAAGGCCAAUCAAACCGGGAGAUAGCUGGUUCUCCCCGAAAGCUAUUUAGGUAGCGCCUCGUGAAUUCAUCUCCGGGGGUAGAGCACUGUUUCGGCUAGGGGGCCAUCCCGGCUUACCAACCCGAUGCAAACUGCGAAUACCGGAGAAUGUUAUCACGGGAGACACACGGCGGGUGCUAACGUCCGUCGUGAAGAGGGAAACAACCCAGACCGCCAGCUAAGGUCCCAAAGUCAUGGUUAAGUGGGAAACGAUGUGGGAAGGCCCAGACAGCCAGGAUGUUGGCUUAGAAGCAGCCAUCAUUUAAAGAAAGCGUAAUAGCUCACUGGUCGAGUCGGCCUGCGCGGAAGAUGUAACGGGGCUAAACCAUGCACCGAAGCUGCGGCAGCGAACGUAUCACCCAAGACAACUUUACGGAGUUGACGAUUGACGGAGCGAAGCGACGUCAAAGCGUUCAUUAAAGUCGAGUUGGCUUAGGGAUACGUUCGUUGGGUAGGGGAGCGUUCUGUAAGCCUGUGAAGGUGUGUCGUGAGGCAUGCUGGAGGUAUCAGAAGUGCGAAUGCUGACAUAAGUAACGAUAAAGCGGGUGAAAAGCCCGCUCGCCGGAAGACCAAGGGUUCCUGUCCAACGUUAAUCGGGGCAGGGUGAGUCGACCCCUAAGGCGAGGCCGAAAGGCGUAGUCGAUGGGAAACGGGUUAAUAUUCCCGUACUUGGUGUUACUGCGAAGGGGGGACGGAGAAGGCUAUGUUGGCCGGGCGACGGUUGUCCCGGUUUAAGCGUGUAGGUGUGUGUUCCAGGUAAAUCCGGUUCACUUUAACACUGAGGCGUGACGACGAGGCACUACGGUGCUGAAGCAACAAAUGCCCUGCUUCCAGGAAAAGCCUCUAAGCAUCAGGUAACACGAAAUCGUACCCCAAACCGACACAGGUGGUCAGGUAGAGAAUACCAAGGCGCUUGAGAGAACUCGGGUGAAGGAACUAGGCAAAAUGGUGCCGUAACUUCGGGAGAAGGCACGCUGACACGUAGGUGAAGUGAUUUACUCACGGAGCUGAAGUCAGUCGAAGAUACCAGCUGGCUGCAACUGUUUAUUAAAAACACAGCACUGUGCAAACACGAAAGUGGACGUAUACGGUGUGACGCCUGCCCGGUGCCGGAAGGUUAAUUGAUGGGGUCAGCGCAAGCGAAGCUCCUGAUCGAAGCCCCGGUAAACGGCGGCCGUAACUAUAACGGUCCUAAGGUAGCGAAAUUCCUUGUCGGGUAAGUUCCGACCUGCACGAAUGGCGUAAUGAUGGCCAGGCUGUCUCCACCCGAGACUCAGUGAAAUUGAACUCGCUGUGAAGAUGCAGUGUACCCGCGGCAAGACGGAAAGACCCCGUGAACCUUUACUAUAGCUUGACACUGAACAUUGAGCCUUGAUGUGUAGGAUAGGUGGGAGGCUUUGAAGUGUGGACGCCAGUCUGCAUGGAGCCGACCUUGAAAUACCACCCUUUAAUGUUU
rnacentral:rRNA from 1 species